rnacentral:ncRNA from 1 species
AAUCAACAUGGAAAGAAGACCCUAUUGAGCUUCACUCUAGUCCGACUUUGUGAAAUGACUUGAGAGUUGUAGGGGCAUCUAGAAAUGGCAAAAGUGAAAUACCACUACUUUUAAUGUUAUUUUACUUAUUCCAUGAACGGAAGCGGGGCAAUGCCCCUUCUUUUAGAUCUAAGGUCCGCGCAUGCAGACCAAUCCGAGUAAAAGACAUUAUCAAGUGGGGAGUUUGGCUAGAGUGGCACAUUUGUUAAAAAAUAUCGUAGGUGUCCUAAUAUAAGCUCAACAAGAACAGAAAUCUCGUGUAUAACAAAAUGGUAAAAGUUCGUUUGAUUCUAAUUUUUAGUACGAAUACGAACCGUAAAACCAUGGCCAAUCAAUCCUUUAGAUCUUCAGAAUUUGAAGCUAGAAGCAUCAAAAAGUUACCACAAGGAUAACUAGCUUGUGGUGGCCAAAUGUUCAUAGUGAUGUUGCUUUUUUAUCGUUCGAUGUUGGCUCUUCCUAUCAUUGUGAAGCAGAAUUCACCAAGUGUCGAAUUAUUCACCCACCAAUAAGGAACGUGAGCUGAGUUUAGACUAUCGUGAAACAAGCUAGUUUUAUCCAACUAAUG